GGACUUUUUAUUUUAUAUAGAAUUUUUGAUUUCAAAUCAGAAGGAGUUAAGUUGUU
rnacentral:tRNA from 2 species